CGACAGAUCUUUUAUAGGCGAAACAAAACGAACUCAAUGAAAUUGAUUGUGGAAGACACUCGCAGUUUUGGAACGUAGAAAGAAAGAGAAGACAAAAAAAAAAAGCAAAAAUCAAUUUGUGACAGCAUUAGUUAUACUUUGUGAAGUGCUUGGUUGUACUAACUGAUUCAUGUGACAAAGUGUAGCGUAAUAAAUUUAAAUAAUUUAAAAAAAUUCCCUUGAAGUGUCUUUCGGCAACAUAUUGUGUAUGGAUAUAGUUAUAUAAAUAAGGCGUGCUGCAACAAUAAAGUGUCAACAUAAGGAGAAAAUUAAAAAUUCUGUUGCCGGCCUAAUUUCAAGAAAACACCAAACGUAACAACAACAACAAAAGCAGAAAAACUUCUUUACCAUUGAAAGGCAACGCAGGAAAUACCAAAGCUUAAACGCAACUCGAAUUUGUUUAUGUAAUCCAAAAUUAAACAACAACAGCAACAAAAAGCGCACAUCAAAUUUUAUUUUCGGGAAGAAUUCUCUGCUAGAAAUUCAAACUAAAAGAUUCGAGUUCUUGUGCCUUAGCAAAUUAUAGUGAUUAAACUGACGCAAAUUUGUUGAAAAACUUUAACCGCAAAGUGUCCGCAAAUAGAAAUUGAAAACUGUGCACAAUGUCGGAAGCUGAAACUGCCGUUAAUCCCGCCACCACCACCGCCAGCGUCGAGGCGGAGCAGGAGCCGGAAAAGACCGUCACUCAAACGGUGGACGAGGAUGAGGAUAUGAAGGAGGAGGUCUCCGCCGAAACGGAGAAAAUGAUUACCGAAACGGUUGACGAGGACGGCGAUGUGGUCGAGGAGACCACCGAGGUUACGCGUAAAACCAUUAAGCGCACUAUGAAAAUUACUGAGACUUCAUCGACAACCAAGACCUCCACUCUCACUACGCCUGCCAAAUUGUACGGCAAGGAUUUGAGCGAGUAUGAUGAGGUUGAUGUUGAUGCUCUGCUGGCGCAAUUGUCACCGGAAGAAAUCAAUAUUUUGGCCAAAGAAGUCGAUCCCGAUGACAAUUUCCUGCCACCCGAUCAACGUUGCAGUUAUGAAUGCGACAAAGAUCCCACUGGUCCGUUGAAUCGCAAAAAGCUUAUCGAGCAUAUUAAUAAGCAGGCCUUAGAAACACCCGAUGAGCCCGAAUUUGAGCCGUAUGUCAAGGGUACAGUACGUGGCAAGAAAUGGGUACCACCACCAAGAGAUGAAAGUGAAGUUGCCGCUGAGGAACAGAUCGCCAUCGAUUUGGGUGAAGAGUAUGAGCAUGCGCUGAGCGAUGCCACACAAGAAGAGAUUAUCGAUCUGGCUGCUAUUCUUGGCUUCCACUCGAUGAUGAAUCAGGAUCAAUACCAUGCUUCUUUGUUGAACAAAGGUCAACCAGUUGGCAUGGGAUGGGAUGGUAUUACAAAAUCAACUCAACCAAAAUUGUUCCCCAUGGACCCACCAAAUAACACAGAUGUCGAAGAAUCAAUUAAACGCGUAAAAGAUAACGAUUCAAAAUUAAUUGAACUGAACUUAAAUAACAUUAAGAACAUUUCCGAUGAGAAAUUGGAACAACUUUUCCAAGUACUGCCUGAAAAUGAAAAUUUGGAAGUUCUUUCCUUAACAAAUGUCGGCCUUACCGACAAGACAGCUCUCUUACUGGCUGAAGCAAUUGAGAAAAGCAAAACCUUGAGAGUAUUAAAUGUUGAGACGAAUUUCAUUAGUCCGCCUGUUAUAGUGACCUUAGUGAAAGCCCUGCUCAAGUGCCGCACAAUUGAAGAGUUCAGGGCCUCCAAUCAACGAUCCUCAGUGCUCGGUAACAAGAUCGAAAUGGAAAUAACCGAAUUAGUGGAAAAGAAUCCAUCAUUGCUCAGAUUGGGUCUGCAUUUGGAGUUCAAUGACGCACGUCACAGAGUUGCCGCACAUUUGCAGCGCAAUAUCGACAGAAUAAGAAAAGAUCUUGAGUUACGUCUGCAGUUCAGAUUUUUCAAUAAUCUGCACAGAAAGUCAACAAGAAUUCAAUAAAAUAAUGAAUGAUCUUAAUAAAAAUAUAUUUAUAUGUAUAAUGAUUGAAGUAAAAGAAAAUAAAAAUAAAAAAAAAACUAUUUACUAAAUAUAUAACGCACUCGUAAGUUAAGACAAAUAAGUACGCGUUUGAUGCAAGCAAAUGAUAGCGAAAAGAAGACGUGCAAACGCCGCAAGGAUAACCAGCCUAUAUAUUUAUAUAUAUAAUAUAUACACCUAGAAAGAGUAAGAGAAAAGCUAAUUCGUCAUUAAAGGAUGCUGCCGACUAUAUCAGACUAUAAUUGCGCGGCUAGCGAGUUAAUUUCUGCACAUAAACGCUUAAUUUAGACUUUAGCGCACUUUUGCACAAAUAAAAGGCGCGAAUUUAACAAAGGAUAUGGCGAAAAACUGCUCAAAUCGAAUAUAAAUUAAACUAACCUCGUUGAAAAUCAAAAAUAAUGGACAACAAAAAUUCUGAGAAAUGGAAAAAAGAAGUCAAAAAACAACAGUACACAGUGUCCAAAACAACGUGAAACACACAAAAGCACACAAACAGUAAAAAUAGACAGAAACUAUAAAUGAAAUCAAAGAAGAAUUAUAUUUUAACAAAAAAAAAAUGAUAAAAAAUACUUAGGAUUAAUUUAAAUCAUAUUCAUAAAUGCAUAAAUAAAUUUCAUACACAACCCACAAAAAAAAAUAUAUGCGAGGUGUAUGGCGAAUGAAAGAAGCCGAUGGACGUAAAGAAGACGAAAGCUGAUACUGAUAUUGAUUUAUAAAACCAAAAACGAAGUUUCGAGAAACUCAAAAUGAUUUCUAGGAGUAAAUAUUUAUAUAAUAAACAAGUACGUGUAAAUCGCCUGAACCAGCGUAAAUAAACUGUGUGAACCAACCAACCAACCAACUAGCCACUUUGUUGUUCACCUUAAUUUGCAAAGCCAACCGUAAACAAAUAGAAAACCUCUACAAUAUACAUACAUACAUAAUUCUCUACUACUUACAUAAUAUGUGUGUCGUUGAAACAAAAACUAAGUAGAACAAAAACAAAAAAAAACAUUGUCAAACUCUUUUUGUAUUAUUGAAUGAAUGUUUUGUAAAUCAUGUUAAAGCAAUGAAAAAAAAAAA
rnacentral:misc_RNA from 1 species